GACUGAGAGAACUUUGGCCACCUGGCUCUGAGAACUGAAUUCCAUAGGCUGUGAGCUCUAGCAGACGCCCUAGGGGCUCAGUUCUGGUGCCCGCCUGUGCCACGCCAUCAACACCAUCAACACCAUC
rnacentral:pre_miRNA from 1 species